CACCACGUGCGCGCUGAUUUUGACUUACCC
rnacentral:piRNA from 1 species